GACGAACGCUGGCGGCGUGCUUAACACAUGCAAGUCGAGCGGAAAGGCCCUGCUUUUGUUGGUUGCUCGAGUGGCGAACGGGGGAGUAACACGUGAGUAACCUGCCCUUGACUGUGGGAUAACUUCAGGAAACUGGGGCGAAUACCGGGUAUGAGCUCCUGCUGCAUGGGGGUGGUUGGAAAGUUUCGGCGGUUGGGGAUGGACUCGCUGGUUAUCAGCUUGUUGGUGGGGUAGUGGCUUACCAAGGCUUUGACGGGUAGCCGGCCUGAGAGGGUGACCGGCCACACUGGGACUGAGAUAAGGCCGAGACUCCUACGCGAGGGAGCAGUGGGGAAGAUUGCAGGAUGGGCGGCAGCCUGAUGCAGAAACGCCGCGUGCGGGAUGACGGCCUUAGGGGUGUAAACCGCUUUCGCCUGUGACGAAGCGUGAGUGACGGGAAUGGGUACAGAAGCCCCGGCUAACUACGUG
rnacentral:rRNA from 1 species